rnacentral:tRNA from 1 species
UCCCCGGUGGCUCAGAGUAAAGCGUCUGCCUGCAAUGCAGGAGACCCAGGUUUGAUUCCUGGGUCGGGAA